ensembl:lncRNA
GAUCUACCUUGGCAUCUGGCAAGCCUGGAGCAGGCCAUUUACCUAGCCCUGCCCACCUGGAUAAACACAGCGUUGCUAUGCAACAUCAUGGAGUUGCUGUGGACUCAUCCCCUACUCCAUGUGAUGUCAUAUCUGCUCCUCCCCUUCACCGCGCUACUCAGCUUCCUGAUUGAAAAUACACACAGGAUGGGAGUUUUAGGGUUCUGGCUGUGGCAGGAUCUACGCCAGAUAACUCUCUAUUUAAUGAACAUCCUGGUCUCCAGCCUCCGCAGAAACCUACAGAACAGACUACAUCACAAUCUUACUCCGCUUGGAUCUGGAGCGAGAGAAGGAGGGAGAGGAGGAGGCAGAGACGACCCCCACCAUACCUCUCUAUCCUGG